CAUCUAAGCGGGAAGCCUGCUUCGAGAUGAGGGCUCCCUCCCACUUGAUGGGGUAAGGCUCCCAGUAGACGACUGGGUUGAUAGGCCAGAUAUGGAAGCACCGUAAGGUGUGGAGUUGACUGGUACUAAUAGGCCGAGGGCUUGUCCUCAGUUG
rnacentral:rRNA from 3 species